rnacentral:rRNA from 1 species
GGGCCCGCACAAGCGGUGGAGCAUGUGGUUUAAUUCGAUGCAACGCGAAGAACCUUACCAGGGUUUGACAUCCUGCGAAUCUCUUGGAAACGAGAGAGUGCCUUCGGGAGCGCAGUGACAGGUGGUGCAUGGCUGUCGUCAGCUCGUGUCGUGAGAUGUUGGGUUAAGUCCCGCAACGAGCGCAACCCACGUCUUUAGUUGCCAGCAUUUAGUUGGGCACUCUAGAGAGACCGCCGGUGAUAAACCCGGAGGAAGGUGUGGAUGACGUCAAGUCAUCAUGCCCCUUACAUCCUGGGCUACACACGUACUACAAUGCUACGGACAAAGAGCAGCAAGUUCGCAAGAAGGAGCG